GGCCGAAGUGAGAGGGUCCCUUGACUUAGAGAGAUCAGCCUGGACAACAUAGCGAGACCCCGUCUCUAUCAAAAAUACCCACGAAGCCGGGCGUAGUGGCGGUCGCCUGUGGUCCCAGCUACUGGGGAGGCUGAGGUGACUGGAACGGAUUUGAUGUAACCCUCACGUGCAUGGAGAAGCUGAGAACAGUAAUCUGCGGAAGCAAAACAGUGAGACAGCCGGGCAAAGACACACAGAGGCUGGAAUGCAAUGGCGUGAUCUCGGCUCACUGCAACCUCUGCCUCCCUGUCAAAGGAAUUCACCUGCCUCAGGCUCCUGAGUAGCUGGGACUACAGGUGUGGUCACCUCUCUUCUACUUUCUGCCUCUAUGAUCUUGCCUGUUCUAGGCAAUUCAUGUAAGUGAAAUCACACAAUAUUUGUUCUUUUGUGUCUUGCUUAUUUCAUGUGGCAUAAUGUUUUCAAGAUUUCUCCAUGUUGUCGCAUGUAUGGGAACUUCUUUUUGUUUGUUUUCUUUUGAGACGGAGUCUGCUCUGUCACCCAGGCUGGAGUGCAGUGGCAUGACCUCAGCUUACUGCAACCUCUGCCUCCUGGGUUCAAGCGAUUCUCCUGCCUCAGCCUCCUGAGUAGCUGGGACUACAGGUGCAUGCCACCAUGUCGGGCCAAUUUUUGUAUUUUUAGUAAAGACAGGGUUUCACCAUGUUGGCCCAAAUGGUCUCAAUCUCUUGACCUCGUGAUCCACCCACCUUAGCCUCCCAAAGUGCUGGGAUUACAGUCAUGAGCCACUGUACCCAGCCCAAGAUGGUUUUUAAGCAUGAUUUCUGGAUUUCAGGAAAUGCCACUAACAUUUCUUGAUGUCUCCAAAUGAUAAAAUUUAUUAUCUCUGGGCGUGGUGGCUCACGCCUGUAAUCACAGCACUUUGGGAGUCCAAGGCAGGUGGAUCGCCUGAGGUCAGGGGUUCGAGACCAGCCUGGCCAACAUGGUGACACCUUGUCUCUACAAAAAAUACAAAAAUUAGUCAGGCAUGGUGGCAGGUGCCUGUAAUUCCAGCUACUUGGGAGGCUGAGGCAGGAGAAUCUCUUGAACCUGGGAGGUGGCAGUUUCAGUAAGCUGAGAUUGCACCACUGCACUCCAGUCUUGGCAACAAGAGUGAGACUUCAUCUCAAUAAAAAAAAGUUUGUUAUUAUCUAUAACAUAUUCCAAGGAGGAAUGAGGCAGUUCUUCUUCGUCUGCUUAAAUGUGCACUUAAAGAUUUUUAAUAAAUACUCUCUCUUCAGGAAAAAAAAGAUCUAGUUAACAGCUCAGAUUCUCCUUAAGAAAGAAAUGUCGUACAUGCUGUGUUCUGCCUUGAACAUCUGUCCAUGUCAUUAACUGUCUUUCUGUGGCAUCAUUUAAAAUAGCUGCAAACUCUUCUGUUAUAUGAAUGUGCCAUAAUUUACUUAACCGACUUAAAGGAAUUUUUAAAAAUUCAUUUAGCCAGGCUGGGGUGGUGGCUCACACCUGUAAUCCCAGAGCUUUGAGAGCCCAGGUGGGAGGACUGCUUGAGGCCAGGAGUGCAAGACCAGCUUGGGCAAGAUGCGGACACCCUAUCUUUACAAAAAAAAAAAGAAAAAGAAAUACAUUUUAAUGAGUCUUCCUUUUCUUUCCAUCACCACCACCAAUUCAGUGGUACAGGAGGGAGCUUGUUGAGACACUCCUAUAUAAUCCCAGCAGACUCCUAAAUGAUGUCACUAUCCCAGGCUUCCCCUCCCAUCCCAUGUCCUCAUGUCUGAGGGAUGUUAAGUCAUUGCUUCCUUGUGUCCUCUUUCAGCCCCAAGAAUGGCUCUAUCUUAACUUUGCACCUGGCUCAAACAUCUCGGCCUUUUUUUCUUUUUGAAGGUUUUCCCAAAUCAGUGCCAUUUAAUCUCCCUCCGCUAUCGUAGUCAUUUCUUUCUGGGCCUGGCUUGUGCCGCUGGUCCUGUUGGGAAUGCCUCCUCUCAUCCCACUGUUUCCCGCCCCCUCCUCCAAUGAGGGUCUGCUUAUAUCUCACGAGCUUCAUAACCCUCCCAAGGCUGUGCUUGCGUGUGUGAACUUCAUCUUUCUCUGAGCUUCUGUUUCAGUGAAACGGGACCACACGGUUUAGGAGGCAGUAAGAAAACAAGCAAGUCUGUGCUCUCGGAGCAUGGUUGCACUGGCCAUCCGACAGUUCCUGGAACACGCUCAUUUCUUUGCUUUUCUUUCUUUCUUUUUUUUCUUUUUGAGAUAGAAUAUUACUAUGUUAUCCAGGCUGGCCUCAAACUCCUGGCUUAAGGGAUGAUCUCGCGUUGCUGGCAUCACAGGUGUGUGCCCCCCAUCCAGCUCUGGGACACUCUUAUUUCUCUCUCACUUCUCAGCUUUGUGUUUGCUGUCGCUCUUCCUGGAAUGCCCAUCUUUCAACUCAUUCCAGCAGGUUCUUUCUCGAUAUUCAGAUCUAGCGUAAAUGCCACUUCCUUGGAGAAACCCUCCCUGCUCCCUAUCAGAAGUAAUUCCCUUGCUCCUAUCACAGGAUCCUGCUUGUUUCUUUCAAAAUCUAUUCCAAGCUGUCCUCAACCCAUUUCUUUUCACUGUGAUUACCUGUCUCUCACACUGCACCUAACCUCCCAAAGAGCCUGUCAUCUUCACCUGUUCAUCCCCAGCUCCUGCACAGUGCCGGGGUGCCCAGUAAGUGCAACCUCAUAAUGAAGGGAUAAGGUUGGACAGAUGGGGAAGGAGAAGGGAGACAUCAAGGUGUCCUUUGAACUUUGGCUUGGGAAGUUGAGCUCAUGGCAGGUGGUGCUACUGGCUGAACUUAGAGCUCUGGAAGUCACAUGUGGGUGGAUGGGGUGAACAGAGAUCAUGAUUUGUCUUUUGUAUCAGUUUGAGUUGCCGCUAAACCAUUUAAGUAUAGAAUAUCUGGAGGUGGUUAGAUAUAUGGGCCUGGAGCUCAAGAGCGAUGCUUGGGCACCAUCCAAAUCAUAAGAAUAGCUACCAUAGCUAGACUCAUGAGAAGCUGCCUGAAGCCAUGUUCUUACGCUGAAGUCUGUUCUUACGCUGCUAAUAAAGACAUACCCAAGACUGGGUAAUUUAUAAAGGAAAGAGGUUUAGUUGACUCACAGUUACACAGGGCUGGGGAGGCCUCACAAUCCUGGCAAAGGCAAGGAGCAGCAAAGCCACAUCUUACGUGGUGGCAGGCAAAAAGAGAAUGAGAGCCAAAUGAAAGGAGAAACCCCUUAUAAAACUCUCAGAUCUCAUGAGACUUAUUCACUACAACGAGAACAGUAUGAGGGAAGCCACCCCAUGAUUCAGUUGUCUCCCACUGGGUCCCUCCCACAACACAUGGGAAUUAUAGGAGUACAAUUCAAGAUGAGAUUUGGGUGGGGACACAACCAAACUGUAUCGGGCCACUUGGCCAAUAAGUGACCAAGCCAGGAUUUAAACUCAGGUGGUCUGUUUCCAGUGCCCACACACCAUUGCGAUGAGAUAGGUGUGGAAGGGACAAAAACCAAGAUGAGUUCCUUGCCUCUGAGGGGCUUAUUGUUUUUUGGGAGAAAUAAAACAUAAAUACUCAUAACUUACCAGACUGAACAAGCUUACACAAGAGCCCUGUUAGUGUGAGUUGGCCCUUAUCCAAGCUUAGGUGCGAUGCUUAUUUGGUUAAAAUGGUGAGUCAGUGUCAGCCGCCUCCUCCGAUUCCCGAAGCCUCAGGAUCACGUGACUAUCAUAAUUCAUUAAAGUUAGCUAAGGAUGUUGGAAAUGCAAACUCCUCUCCAUAGAUCAUCAUUUAUUUUGGAACUAUGAUUCAUAGCCCUCGGGAAUGAAAAACAGGAAGCUGAAAGGUCACAGUUAAAGUGAAAGAAAAUGGGAAUUUCUAAUUUUUUCAAAAAAGAAAAGUUGAGUCAGGGGAUCUUCCUGAAUGAUGACUGCAUGGGAUUAGAAUAUGGGUUGAGAAACGUACAAACAUCGGAGGGUGAAACCCAACCUGGUACAUCCAAGUAGAUAAUUUGAAUAAAUGGGGGUGGUGGUCAUGGUUCCUUAUUGCCUCUAGUAGGCAGGGCUUUGUGUGACCAUGACUUUGGGCAGAAACCAAACCAAGAUUAAUUUUUUAGGGCUGCUGGUUGGCCUGGAAUUAGAGAUUUAUUUUAUUGAUUGAUUGAUUGAUUGAGAUGGAGUUUCACUCUUGUUGCCCAGGCUGGAGUGCAGUGGUGUGAUCUUGGCUCACUGCAAACUCUGCCUCCCAGGUUCAAGUGAUUCUCCUGCCUCAGCCUCCCAAGUAGCUGGGAUUACAGGCGCUGGCCACCAUGCUCAGCUAAUUUUUUGUAUUUUUAGGAGAAACAGGGUUUUACCAUGUUGUCCAGGCUGGUCUCAAACUCCUGACCUCAGAUAAUCCACCUGCCUCAGCUUCCCAAAGUACUGGGAUUGCAGGCGUGAGCCACUGCCCUGGCCCAAUUAGGGAUGUUUUAAUAACCUCCUCUUUACCUCAGUGGCGAGGGAGGGAUUCCCACUUCCCACCCCAGGGUUCUGGGGAUGGCUAAACAUGUGACACCCAACACUGGGCAGAUGAGAUUGGCAGCAAUUUUUGGUCACACACACUCACAGCUCAGGGAGGAAGACCCCCACAUGCUGUGCAGGGCCACACAGAAACAGAGUGAACGACCAGGGCCGGUGGGGGGCACGCUCUGUAGCAACAAGAGGGUGAGGAGGACCUGGUUUCCCUGGAGGAUGUGAUUGGCUCAUUUGGACAGUUCCAUGGGUUAGCAGGAACUGCUAUCUGUUUUAUUGGGUCUGUUUGACAGGGAAGGUUGUUGCACUGGGCACCCUUAGCCAAGGGAGGACUGGGAGAGAAACUUGGGGUUAGGCUAUUCUAGGCACUCCUGAUUUCACCUGAUGUCAAGGCAGCACCUCAUAUGAGACCUUGAUUUUAGGCCUUACACCGCAGGGUGGAUACCCAGUGGGCCCUGCUGGCUGCCCCUCGUCUCCUGAUUUGCUGCACUCCUUCCUGUGAUCUGAAGCUCUACAAGCAGUCUCAUCCCUGCCAACUUGGGGCAGGGGCUAUUCCAAAAUUCAAGGCACACUGAAGCUUUUCCUCCUUUUCUCUUGCUGCCAAUUUUUUCCACCUUUUUUUGGUGACUUCCCAAGAGGAAGAGGAGGGAAGAAAAGAGAAACAUUCUAUUUGGCCGCUUAUGUGGGACAAAUGUUUCAUGGAGUAGGGAAAGACUGAAACAAAAACAAAGAGCAUAUCCACCACCGCUCCUAGCUCAUUUUCCACACAGUGAUCGCAGUGAGUGUUUACAAAUGAAUAUGGUGGUUGGGCGCAGUGGCUCAUGCCUGUAAUCCCAACACUUUGGCAGAUCACUUGAGGUCCGGAGUUUGAGACUAUCCUGGUCAACAUGGUGAAACCCUGUCUCUACUAAAAAUACAAAAAUUAGCUGGGUGUGGUGGCGCGUGCCUGUAAUCCCAGAUACUCAGGAGGCUGAGGCAGGAGAAUCACUUGAACCCAGGAGGCAGAGGUUGUAGUCAGCCAAGAUCAAGCCACGCUGUACUCCAGCCUAGGCAACAGAGGAAGACUCUAUCUCAAAACAAAUAAAAAAAACAAAAAAAUCAAAAUCAGAAUUAAAUAUGAUCUCACCAGGCUCCUGUUUAGAACCUUUAUGUGGCUUAGGUCUUAGGAUAAAGACAAACUCUACUGUGACCCACAAGAUUCCAGGAAGCCUAGCCCCUGCCUGCUUCCAACCAUGACUCAUGCCUUACUUCCCUGUACUGUUUAUGGCACAUACAGGUCUCUAAGUUCUGUAAACCUGCUAUGCUUUUCCUGCCCCAGGACCUUUGCACAUAUUGUUCUCUCUGCUGAGAGUGCUCCUUCCUUCCCCAUUCACUAUUUAAGUAGUGCUCAUCCUUCAAAUUUUAGCUAAAACAUUCCUUCCUCAGGUAGGCUGACCCCAGUAGGCUAAAUUCCCCUGCUAUAAGCUCUCAUGGCCUCAUUUGCCUCUUCACCAUGAUACUCAGCACCAGUUGCCAGAUUCCAUUUGCUUGAAUUAUUUUUCAUCUCUUCAUAUUUUCAUGAGACCAGCAACCUUAUUUAUCCUCGAUCUCUGGAGAGUGUCUCAAUGAACAGUUGUUGAACAAAUGUGUCCAUGAACGAGUUAACUGUGAUUUGGGGACCUUCUGAAAGGAAAGGAAAGAAAGAAGACUUAAAUAAAUUUUACAUCAUUUUUUUAAUUAUCAAAACAGUGACAUUAAGGACACUUACAUCACCAGGCUAAAAUCAGGAAGGGUUUAAAAAGUAAUUCCCCAUUCGAAUGAGGAAUGAAAGUUCAUUACCGAUAUUAUAUGAAAUCAGCCAAGAGAAAGCAGAUCCCUUCUUUUCUGACACAGAGAUGAAGCCAUGAAUCCUGGCAGUUACCAUAGCAGAAGACAGCUUUUAAGUAUAAGAAAACACAUCCUACAAAAUGUGACUCCCAUCGCCUGUGGAGAUGACAUUAUUUUCUACAAUAAACUAAAACUAAGAAUACAACGAUGACGCCUGUUAUUGUGGGACGUGUGUGACAUGUUACACAGUUGAAGCGACACGUCACUCUCUCGCCCAGAGCAUCAGUGGGGAAGGUGAGGAAAAGCAGAUGGAUCCAGUGAUGAUUUGUCAUUUCACAUUUUGACUCCAUCUGCGGCCUCAUUAAGGUGACAGAAAUGUACUAGGAAUAAGGCACCAAAUACGAAGGUACAAAGGCCCAGAGGCCAUCAGAAUGGAAACCUGUAACAGUGACAUAGAAUUCCUGGAGUAAAGAAGUGUCAACUCCAAAGAAAUCAUAUAUAAUAAUGCACUUUAAAAAAUAUCUUUGAAAAGGUAGUGAAAAAUCAAAGUUCAAUCUGGCAUAAUUAACUUGGUUCCUGAGUUUAAAGCCAGAUAAAACCCUGUAUCAAAAACGUUUUUAUUCAUGCUGUUCUACACGAAUAGCCUAGAAAGCUGCUGGUUUUUAAAAGGUAUCAAAAUGGUAACUCUUAGAAUAUGUAUAAAAAAUUCACAGAUCCUUUAUCAGUCGCAAUAUUUAACAGUGGUCUCCAAACUGUUUGAUUAAAUGGUCGUUGUUUAGAAACAGUUAAAUAGCCAACUCUGGUGACAAAACCAGGGAAAGGAAACCCUAAAGCAGGAUCCUAACACCUGUCACUAUGCAUUUUCCUAUUCUUAGCAGUCGAUGAUGGAGAUGGGAAAGGUGUGGUUGUGGGUUGUUUUUGAAGUAGCUAGCAUCCAGACUGCGUCAAUUCUGAAUGGCUGCAAAGUACAGGGUGUUAAUGGUAUCAAGGCAGCUUUUUAGUCACUUUCAGUCAUAGCAUU